rnacentral:misc_RNA from 1 species
UUGAUUUAUUAUCAAGUUUGUCAGACUUCAAUAUUGUCAGCGUUGUUCCUUCGGCAAGCACAGACUCGCUUGUUAGGCCAGCGUUUUGCAACGGCUUGCCGAAGCUGUUCAGCAGAGAUACACAAGGGUGGGUUGAUGCUGUGUUUCCCGCGGUUUUGAGCCCGCCGGCAGCAAAAACACUGUAAUGAUCCUUCCGCAGGUUCACCUACGGAAA